UCUAUGCUCGCUAUCCCAAGGUUCAUUGCGAUCCCAAGGUUCACUGCGGUUUUCCACAAGCCUGUUUCUGCCUAUCACCAUGAGUGAUUCCUUUAUACUCAGAUUUAUUAUCAAGAUCUCAAUUAUUAGCUCAAGUCUUGAUGACAACUUGAUGAUCUGCAGGAAGCACCACCAUGUAAGGAAGGCCAAGACCACUCUGGAAUCAGUCAAGGCUCAUAGGAACUCCAAUCUUCCCAACUGUGAGAGGGCCUUGCUCCAGUGACUGAUUGCAGUGACCAGACAUGCUACUGUAACUCUCAUGGUCAUGUGCUGGAAUUAGCAGAUAUUCAACAAUUUGGCCAUCUCGCUGACCUAUUGAUAUCAGAAGACCGCAGCAGCUCUGCAAAGCAAGUUGCAAAACAGAAUCCAUGAAACUGGCAGUGACUGGAAACCAAUUGGAAGACUUUGGUCUGUGAUGUAGAGAAGUGGGCAGAGGGUGAGGAAAUUCUUAUUAAUAUUACAUGUAGUCAUGAAAAAUUAUAACCGUUACUAUUAUUGUCAUUUUUUCAGUAGCAGAAGCAAAGACAACAAAAAACAGAAGUGAUAUGGAUGUCUUCGUCAUA
ensembl:processed_transcript